GGUUCCAAAUUGUCCUGGUGCUGAGUUAGCAUACUCCAAGAGGAACCCACCAGCUAAAGAGGGCUUCAUACUACUGGUCCAGGAGCAGUUUCAGUGUCAAAAUUGCCCCAGGAACAAGACUGGCUUCUGUCCUCACUUGGUCUGACUCUGCCUUUAGUGCUGUUGUGGAAGCAGGAGGCCAUGG
rnacentral:lncRNA from 1 species